rnacentral:ribozyme from 1 species
AGGAAGUGAGAGAACAAAAGAGAGAGGAGAAGAAAAGAGAAGAACACUCGUUUUCCUUGUAUGGUUGAUUGAUUGCUCAUUUAUUUAGUGAUUUGAUUAUUUUG